CGUUGGUUUAGUUAUAGCCAUAGCUCUAACAGGUGACUUUUAUAGGUUCCAUACCGGUGACUGAGGCUCUGUGAAAUGCUUGUCCCGCUUCUCUGCCGACAGUCUCUGUUCCAAUAGCAUCACAACUGGACGCACACUGGCCCUAAGCUGGACACCCCAAAUCGGUCUGGUCAAGUAACUAAAUUAUAUGAUUGGUCCAGUAGUGUCCAGAUCAAGGGUGAAAUCCAAGAAAUACAUGAAGAAAACAACACAAUGCCUUCGACCUUCCAACCACCUGCUGUACCACAUUCCCCCUUUUCUACAAAUCUGAGGGUUUCCAUCCUUCUCUGGUUUUCCUGACUAUAGCCCCUAGCCUCGAAAAUUCUCCUCUUCCACAGCUCUCUCUCAAGCCCACGCCUAUAAUAGGAAAUCCAGAGUCACUUAGGUGGGUAUGAAGAGCAAGUUUCAUUUGCACAAAAGAAAGGAAAUGCACGAAAGAAGGAAAGGUUUGGGGAGCGGCAUCUAAAAUCUGUGCUCUUUUUUAAUGGAUCCCUCACUCUCCUCCCGGAAGCUUUCAUGGGUUUCUUCGAACAAAAAAGAUACUAAAAACCCAAGUUCACCACAGCCUUCCUGUGGACAAUCUAGAGAAAUCUUUACAGAAGAGACUUGGAAGAACUUACAAAGAGAGACAGAAUUGUCUUUGGAUUUAGUGAUUCCCAAGAACACAUCUGGAAUAACCCUGGAUUCCAGCAGAACUUACAGUGAAUGCUUGCAGUGGCUAAUUUAUCCUGCCAUCCAUCAUAUAAGAAUCCCUCAAUCAGCAGCCCACUCCACGUAAGGCAUUAACCAGUAUAUACAUUUUUUGUAAUAGUCGCAAUCGGUGCAGAGUGGACACGUCCUCUAAAGUGAGACAUCCCAUGCAUUAAUUUUAUUUCAUUUCAGAUAUAGACAAAGAGUUGGUCAUGAAGUAUUAAAACAACUCUAGAUCGCCAUUCUCAAUGAAAAACAAAAAAAGGGUUAUAAGGCUACAGCAGGGAUCACUUCGCCUCCUACGUGGUACCUGUCAUUACGACUAAAGAGCAUGGCAUACCCAGAGCAACAUUUGCAAGCAAUAAAUCUGGAAUAAAUGGGACAAAGAUAAAAGUAU